CCCGAGCUUCAUCACUUUUUUCAAUUAGAAUCUAGAUGCACGUGCCAUCUUUCACCCGUAGCACACAAAUCCCUACAGUGUUGGCAAUAGCAUUUGCAGAGGCUCUGAGCAUGGAGGUGGUGGAGGACAAGACUCGCGAAUUACUUAUCCGUUAUUCAGGUUUUGUGGUGCCCAUGCAUUGGAAGCUCUUAUCAAAAGUGCUUGUUUCUAUAUGAUAGUGAUGAUUAGACUUCAAAAUUUGUGUUUGGAA
rnacentral:lncRNA from 1 species